UGAAAACCAGGUCUGUGUAGGUCUUGAUUUCUAUCAAGGGGUCAUUCUAAUUUUAUGAGCUACUCCAUCUGUAAUGGACACCUGACAACGUCAUGAUGGUUCAAAAAAGAGUCACAUCGGGAUUUGUAAUGACAAGCUUCCAUUUGUAAAUCGUGUGAAAAAUAAGUAGCAUGUUCUUGGCAUAAAAGGUCUUCAUUCUCAUUUGGUCUGAACUUGGAGAAGAUAAAUCAAAGCCCAGAGGGAAUUCAAAGAACACAAAUGAACUCCUCUUGAGAUAUUUAUUCCUUUGGGAUCGGCAUCAGGUUCAAAAUUUCCACUAAGUCUGUCGAGUCUACUUCAAAGAACCUACCAUCUUUGUAUCAUCUGUAAAAGAGA
rnacentral:lncRNA from 1 species